UACGAAGGGGGCUAGCGUUGUUCGGAAUCACUGGGCGUAAAGGGCGCGUAGGCGGCCGAUCAAGUCGGGGGUGAAAGCCUGUGGCUUAACCACAGAAUGGCCUUCGAUACUGUUUGGCUUGAGACCGGAAGAGGUUAGUGGAACUGCGAGUGUAGAGGUGAAAUUCGUAGAUAUUCGCAAGAACACCAGUGGCGAAGGCAGCUCGCUGGGACGUUACUGACGCUGAGACGCGAAAGCGUGGGGAGCAAACAGG
rnacentral:rRNA from 1 species